rnacentral:rRNA from 2 species
ACAAUGGCGCAUACAAAGAGAAGCGACCUCGCGAGAGCAAGCGGACCUCAUAAAGUGCGUCGUAGUCCGGAUUGGAGUCUGCAACUCGACUCCAUGAAGUCGGAAUCGCUAGUAAUCGUGGAUCAGAAUGCCACGGUGAAUACGUUCCCGGGCCUUGUACACACCGCCCGUCACACCAUGGGAGUGGGUUGCAAAAGAAGUAGGUAGCUUAACCUUCGGGAGGGCGCUUACCACUUUGUGAUUCAUGACUGGGGUGAAGUCGUAACAAGGUAACCGUAGGGGAACCUGCGGUUGGAUCACCUCCUUACCUUAAAGAAGC